rnacentral:rRNA from 1 species
AUACGUAGGUGACAAGCGUUAUCCGGAUUUACUGGGCGUAAAGGGCGUGUAGGCGGUCUUGCAAGUCAGAAGUGAAAUUCCUGAGCUCAACUCGGGCGCUGCUUCUGAAACUGCAGGACUUGAGUGCAGGAGAGGUUAUCGGAAUUCCCGGUGUAGCGGUGAAAUGCGUAGAGAUCGGGAGGAACACCAGUGGCGAAGGCGGGUAACUGGACUGCAACUGACGCUGAGGCGCGAAAGUGUGGGGAGCAAACAGGAUUAGAUACCCUGGUAGUCCACACUGUAAACGAUGAAUGCUAGGUGUAAGAGGUAUCGACCCCUUUUGUGCCGGAGUCAACACAAUAAGCAUUCCGCCUGGGGAGUACGGCCGCAAGGUUGAAACUCAAAGGAAUUGACGGGG